rnacentral:rRNA from 1 species
AUUGAACGCUGGCGGAAUGCUUUACACAUGCAAGUCGAGCGGCAGCACGGGGGCAACCCUGGUGGCGAGCGGCGAACGGGUGAGUAAUACAUCGGAACAUGCCCAGUCGUGGGGGAUAACACUUCGAAAGAAGUGCUAAUACCGCAUACGUCCUGAGGGAGAAAGCGGGGGAUCGCAAGACCUCGCGCGAUUGGAGUGGCCGAUGUCAGAUUAGCUAGUUGGUGGGGUAAAGGCCUACCAAGGCAACGAUCUGUAGCUGGUCUGAGAGGAUGAUCAGCCACACUGGGACUGAGACACGGCCCAGACUCCUACGGGAGGCAGCAGUGGGGAAUUUUGGACAAUGGGGGCAACCCUGAUCCAGCCAUUCCGCGUGAGUGAAGAAGGCCUUCGGGUUGUAAGGCUCUUUCGGCAGGAACGAAACGGCGAGCUCUAACAUAGCUUGCUAAUGACGGUACCUGAAGAAGAAGCACCGGCUAACUACGUG